rnacentral:rRNA from 1 species
UACGUAGGGGGCAAGCGUUGUCCGGAAUUAUUGGGCGUAAAGCGCGCGCAGGCGGCCUUUUAAGUCUGAUGUGAAAUCUUGCGGCUUAACCGUAAGCGGUCAUUGGAAACUGGAGGGCUUGAGUGCAGAAGAGGAGAGUGGAAUUCCAUGUGUAGCGGUGAAAUGCGUAGAGAUAUGGAGGAACACCAGUGGCGAAGGCGACUCUCUGGUCUGCAACUGACGCUGAGGCGCGAAAGCGUGGGUAGCGAACAGG